rfam:Thermocrinis minervae strain DSM 19557 genome assembly, chromosome: I
GGGGAUGUAGCUCAGCGGGAGAGCGCCUGCUUUGCAAGCAGGAGGUCGUGGGUUCAAAUCCCACCAUCUCCA